GUGUCAGCAGCCGCGGUAAUACGUAGGGUGCGAGCGUUAAUCGGAAUUACUGGGCGUAAAGCGUGCGCAGGCGGUGAGUUAAGUCUGAUGUGAAAGCCCCGGGCUCAACCUGGGAACGGCAUUGGAAACUGGCUCGCUGGAGUGUGGCAGAGGGGGGUGGAAUUCCGCGUGUAGCAGUGAAAUGCGUAGAGAUGCGGAGGAACACCGAUGGCGAAGGCAGCCCCCUGGGCCAACACUGACGCUCAGGCACGAAAGCGUGGGGAGCAAACAGGAUUAGAUACCCUGGUAGUCCACGCCCUAAACGAUGGCCACUGGGUGUUGGGGAAGCGAUUCCUUGGUACCGCAGCUAACGCGUGAAGUGGCCCGCCUGGGGAGUACGGCCGCAAGGUUAAA
rnacentral:rRNA from 1 species